CCAUAUUGUCCAAUGAGUGGAGUCGCCGUCGGUAAAACAGAAUUAUAUAAGUGGUGGCCUAAACCCGGUAUACCUAAGGUUAAGUUUUUUUUUUUUAUAAACAAUAUCCCCUCGGAUUUGAUAGGAACUGAUGGUACUCACACCCAACAAAUAGAGUCCAAACAAAGGAUUGGACGCGGGGGAGAGUCAAUAUCGCAUCGUACUGAUCUGUCAAAAUCAAAAACUACAAGAACACAUACAUAUUUUGGACCCGUUAAUUUUUGGUCCCCUAAGACGAAGUUUAACCAUCAAUUUUUAUAACAUAUCAAAAAAUCAUUGAAAUCGGGAAGGACGUAUUUGUUCUUCAGUUUCACUAAAAAAAAGGUAUAGAAUGUGUUAUUCUGCUGGAUUUUCCCGAUUCUCCUGAAAGUGUCUGACGCUGGCUCGAGUGAGUUCUUGAAUGCUAAAGACUUGAAUAAAAAAGACAAAUAGCGAAAGAGAAAGAGGUCCGAGAAUUAAAGGGCCAAAAAAAAACAUCUGAUUCA